GCAUGCUAUAUAUAGUGUAUCCAGUAGCCAUGCUAUAUAUAGUGUAGAGGCCAUGCUAUAUAUAGUGUAUCAAGUAGCCAUGCUAUAUAUAGUGUAGAGGCCAUGCUAUAUAUAGUGUAUCUAGUAGCCAUGCUUUAUAUAGUGUAGAGGCCAUACUAUAUAUAGUGUAUCUAGUAGCCAUGCUAUAUAUAGUGUAGAGGCCAUGCUAUAUAUAGUGUAGAGGCCAUGCUAUAUAUAGUGUAUCUAGUAGCCAUGCUAUAUAUAGUGAAUCUAGUAGCCAUGCUAUAUAUAGUGUAGAGGCCAUGCUAUAUAUAGUGUAUCUAGUAGCCAUGCUAUAUAUAGUGAAGAGGCCAUGCUAUAUAUAGUGUAUCUAGUAGCCAUGCUAUAUAUAGUGUAGAAGCCAUGCUAUAUAUAGUGUAUCUAGUAGCCAUGCUAUAUAUAGUGUAUCUAGUAGCCAUGCUAUAUAUAGUGUAGAGGCCAUGCUAUAUAUAGUGUAUCUAGUAGCCAUGCUAUAUAUAGUGUAUCUAGUAGCCAUGCUAUAUAUAGUGUAUCUAGUAGCCAUGCUAUAUAUAGUGUAUCCAGUAGCCAUGCUAUAUAUAGUGUAUAUAGUAGCCAUGCUAUAUAUAGUGUAUCUAGUAGCCAUGCUACAUAUAGUGUAUCUAGUAGCCAUGCUAUAUAUAGUGUU
rnacentral:lncRNA from 1 species